AAGUGGUUUUGGCACGUAAAACCCCAUAAUUUAAUUUUUAACUUUGAUCUUGGUGACAUUUGUAUUUAUGGAUCGGCUGCGCGCAAAAUUUUACUCUGCUGUCAAAAGUUAAUUAUAUAUGUUGUGGAGCAUUCUAUUACGUAAUUUAUUCCAAACGCUGCAGUAAACCAACGUAUUUUAAUAUUUACGCAUGCAUUAGCCAUAACAUUUCCCUUGUUUUAAGAAAACCUGGAAAAAUUGCCUUGUCUAGUUUACCUAGGACGCCGAACAAACCAACUGAAAACUUGCUUUGACAAAUGUAAGUAAGGAAAAAGAAAACGAAGGUUCAGAAAUUCAUAUUCAUUCUUUUCUAAAAACUAGGAAAACGAAAGUUUUGUCACGCACUGGACUUAACAGUUGAACUAAUUUAGCCGUAUUUAGAGUUCGUGUCUUGUGCAGUCUUCUUGGUACUAUGGUAAAAGCGAAUUGCGGCACUAUGGCGCUCUGGAACGCCUCGAUUAGUGCCUUUCCACAUGUGUCGAAAUUAGGCUACAGAGACGAAAAAAUUAGCAUUCGUCAAGCACGACACGCUCUCUACUUCAACUAAACAUAAGCACUGUGCUUCACAUAGUUCACCAAAGGGUCACGGAAGCGUGUGGCUUUGAGUAUGCGCUGUCAGCCGAGUCUAGCGGUCCCUCAGAAUCGCUGUGCGCAUGCGCGGCGAUAGUCGCUUCCCUUUGUGCGCAAGAAGUGAAAGGAGCGCUCACACGUCCUCUGCUAGGCGCUAUAUUUUUUUUCCUUCAAUGGAGUUUGCGUUUAGCUCAUCCAGUGGGUGGACAGUGGGGAUAGUUUCGGUAUCGGCAAUAAAGCACCGGGGAGACACUGGUAGCCACAGGAAACUUCAGUAUCUUCGGCACAUGCGGUUUUAUCUCUUCAACCUACGAAGUAAUUAAGAAAACUGAUACUGAUACAAUUAUCUGCCGGAUUCUCUUUCACCGACCCAUAUCCUUAUUUAGUCGCGUCAUUUGUUGGGUAAAAGAGUGGUGCUCUCAUUCUUCUUACUUCGGCUGCCACUCUAUUAGUCUGCUUCUGUUUCUUUCUUUGCACGUGCAUGCUUUUUUUGUAUGGUCUGCAGUUAUACAUUUUCUUUCUCUGCACGCAAACGUUACGGCAACGUUGGAAAAACUGAGGGAAGAACAAAAGGCGAACUGCGCGGCUUUGUGCAACACAAGGGCGAAAUCUCUCCAUUACACAGAGGACGAGAGGAGUGGAUUGCAAGCCGGACAAAGAAAGUCGAUGAAGAAGUACAGGAGCAGUCCACAUUGCUUUCCAGGCUACACCAUGCGACCCGUAGAUAUGACGGCCACUGGAAGAAGAAAUAGCUGCUUCCCCACGAGAGAGACCUUUUUUGUGCAAGGUAAAACUCGUACCUGUGUCUUAGGCUACAAUAGCAGAUCCAAUCACUUACUAUCCAUACAGGAGUAUUCGCGGCCCUGAUUAAUUCGCGGACAGAAAGGUCUUAUGACAUGCAGUCUCUCAAUAAAAGUGAUCCAAUUCGAUUUAUUUGCUUUAAUCGUAGCCGCGGAUUUAUCAGUGCGUGUGAUGCAGUAAACAUUCUUUGCCCAUUCGCCAAAGCAGUUAACAGUAUAAUACCGCCUUCUCCCAAUAUCGCACAUUGUAGACAGUCUGCACGGCUGUAUACUGCCGCCGGCGAUCUACCGCGUGUCAUCAUGGGGAAGAUCUCAUAGGGAGGUGGAUGGGUGGUUAUGAUGACGAUGCGUGCCCUGGCGGCCUGUCGGGCAUACUCAGUGAACAAGAAGCUGUCUAGGAUGUCCAAGACAGAAACGGGCUGUUCCGACGAAACCAUACACGCAUUAACAAAGGAAAAGUGGCUACAUGAACAACGUAAACAUAACUGAAGUGUGUUAUAUCAAAAGCAAGUAUCAUCAGUAGAUAACAGUGCGCCUAGACUUGAAACGCAAAGCGUAUGGCUGUGGCAAGUGCUAUUAGCGGUGAAUGUAGACGAGAACUAGUCGUGCCAUUGAAUGCCAUUGAAUGUGCAUUAGCGCUGACAGUUCUGCCGAGAGCUUGUGGGAUUGUCUCGCAUGGAGUCAUGUCUUAUGGAGUACAGCUGAUAGGUUGGUUGCGAAGACUGGCCAC